rnacentral:rRNA from 1 species
CCUAACACAUGCAAGUCGAGCGGAUGAGAAGAGCUUGCUCUUCGAUUCAGCGGCGGACGGGUGAGUAAUGCCUAGGAAUCUGCCUGGUAGUGGGGGACAACGUUUCGAAAGGAACGCUAAUNCCGCAUACGUCCUACGGGAGAAAGCAGGGGACCUUCGGGCCUUGCGCUAUCAGAUGAGCCUAGGUCGGAUUAGCUAGUUGGUGAGGUAAUGGCUCACCAAGGCUACGAUCCGUAACUGGUCUGAGAGGAUGAUCAGUCACACUGGAACUGAGACACGGUCCAGACUCCUACGGGAGGCAGCAGUGGGGAAUAUUGGACAAUGGGCGAAAGCCUGAUCCAGCCAUGCCGCGUGUGUGAAGAAGGUCUUCGGAUUGUAAAGCACUUUAAGUUGGGAGGAAGGGCAGUAAGCUAAUACCUUGCUGUUUUGACGUUACCGACAGGGU